rnacentral:rRNA from 1 species
UACGAAGGUCCCUAGCGUUGUUCGGAAUCAUUGGGCGUAAAGCGCACGUAGGUGGCUUUGCAAGUCAGGUGUGAAAGCCUGGGGCUUAACCCCAGAAGUGCACUUGAAACUGCUUAGCUUGAGUACGGGAGAGGUGAGUGGAAUUCCUGGUGUAGUGGUGAAAUACGUAGAUAUCAGGAGGAACAUCGGUGGCGAAGGCGGCUCACUGGCCCAGUACUGACACUGAGGUGCGAAAGUAUGGGGAUCAAACAGG